rnacentral:rRNA from 1 species
UACAGAGGGGGCAAGCGUUGUUCGGAAUUACUGGGCGUAAAGGGCGCGUAGGCGCCUUCUAAGUCGAACGUGAAAUCCCCGGGCUCAACCCGGGAACUGCGUCCGAUACUGGAAGGCUUGAAUCCGGGAGAGGGAUGUGGAAUUCCAGGUGUAGCGGUGAAAUGCGUAGAUAUCUGGAGGAACACCGGUGGCGAAGGCGACAUCCUGGACCGGUAUUGACGCUGAGGCGCGAAAGCUAGGGGAGCAAACGGG